GAUGAAGAACGCAGCGAAAUGCGAUAAGUAGUGUGAAUUGCAGAAUUCAGUGAAUCAUCGAAUCUUUGAACGCACAUUGCGCCCUUUGGUAUUCCAAAGGGCAUGCCUGUUCGAGCAUCAUUUGUACCCUCAAGCUUUGCUUGGUGUUGGGCGUCUUGUCUCUAGCUUUGCUGGAGACUCGCCUUAAAGUAAUUGGCAGCCGGCCUACUGGUUUCGGAGCGCAGCACAAGUCGCACUCUCUAUCAGCAAAGGUCUAGCAUCCAUUAAGCCUUUUUUUCAACUUUUGACCUCGGAUCAGGUAGGGAUACCCGCUGAACUUAAGCAUAUCAAUAAGCGGAGGA
rnacentral:misc_RNA from 1 species